GACGAACGCUGGCGGCGUGCUUAACACAUGCAAGUCGAGCGGUAAGGCCUUUCGGGGUACACGAGCGGCGAACGGGUGAGUAACACGUGGGUGAUCUGCCCUGCACUUCGGGAUAAGCCUGGGAAACUGGGUCUAAUACCGGAUAUGACCUCAGGUUGCAUGACUUGGGGUGGAAAGAUUUAUCGGUGCAGGAUGGGCCCGCGGCCUAUCAGCUUGUUGGUGGGGUAAUGGCCUACCAAGGCGACGACGGGUAGCCGACCUGAGAGGGUGACCGGCCACACUGGGACUGAGACACGGCCCAGACUCCUACGGGAGGCAGCAGUGGGGAAUAUUGCACAAUGGGCGAAAGCCUGAUGCAGCGACGCCGCGUGAGGGAUGACGGCCU
rnacentral:rRNA from 1 species